GAUGAACGCUAGCUACAGGCUUAACACAUGCUAGUCGAGGGACCGGCGCACGGGUGAGUAACACGUAUCCAAACUGCCCUUUACUCGGGGAUAGCCUUUCGAAAGAAAGAUUAAUACACUAUGUGAAGGAUGGGGCUGCGUUCCAUUAGGUUGUUGGGGAGGUAACGGCUCACCAAGCCUUCGAUGGAUAGGGGUUCUGAGAGGAAGGGCCCCCACAGUGGAACUGAGACCCGGUCCAAACUCCUACGGGAGGCAGCAGUGAGGAAUAUUGGUCAAUGGGCGUUAGCCUGAACCAGCCAAGUAGCGUGAAGGAUGAAGGCUUAUGGGUCGUAAACUUCUUUUAUAUAAGAAUAUGUAUUAUAUGAAUAAGGAUCGGCUAACUCCGUGCCAGCCGCCGCGGUAAUUC
rnacentral:rRNA from 1 species